UGGUGGCGAUAGCGAAGAGGUCACACCCGUUCCCAUACCGAACACGGAAGUUAAGCUCUUCAGCGCCGAUGGUGGUAGGGGGGUUCCCCCCUGUGAGAGUAGGACGCCGCCA
rnacentral:rRNA from 1 species